UACGUAGGGUGCAAGCGUUAAUCGGAAUUACUGGGCGUAAAGCGUGCGCAGGCGGUUUUGUAAGUCUGUCGUGAAAUCCCCGGGCUCAACCUGGGAAUUGCGAUGGAGACUGCAAGGCUAGAAUCUGGCAGAGGGGGGUAGAAUUCCACGUGUAGCAGUGAAAUGCGUAGAUAUGUGGAGGAAUACCGAUGGCGAAGGCAGCCCCCUGGGAUAACACUGACGCUCAUGCACGAAAGCGUGGGGAGC
rnacentral:rRNA from 1 species